rnacentral:misc_RNA from 1 species
UUAAACUUCAAUAACCAGAAAUAAGUCGAUUUAAUCUUAAUCAUCUAUGGUAUUUUUGGCCUUCCGAUGUUUGAUCAAGGCAUGGUGGUACCAAAUUGAAACUUGAGGGAAAAGGAUGAUAUCUCCAAGUAUGAUCGUUUCGGCCGGCCAUUAUUUGGCCAAAAUGCCUUGAACGUGGCAAGAGGUGUGGCGAUAAUUUCCAUUUCUAAUCUGGUGUGGCGAAGGAGUUCAACCUCGUUGAAGUAGGCUAAUUGGCUGCCAGGACGGCCAAAGAAGAUGGUAGCAUCACGAGCUCUCGCCAGUGAGUCUCUUUAUUGUUCUCUCGUCUGCAUCACGAGCUCUCUCCAGUGAGUCUCUUUAUUCUUCUCUCGUCUUUCGCUUGCAUAAUCACUUUCUUACGAUGUCACCUCUAGGACGGGUGAACAAGGGAGAACCCGUAGCAGGCCGAAGGGUUUACACAGCUGGCAGCCAAUUCUUUUCUCUGCAGACCAACAAAUCAAAAGCUACUAAAUCAUCCUCUAAAUAUCUGAUAUUACAAAAUUGCCCUUCCAAUUAACACAGUAAUUUCGACGGUGAAAUUUUCACGGAAAUUAGUAUCAUUAUACUGAUUGAAAUUCAAUCUUUCAUAACUCUUUCAAUCUAUUAAUUUUAUUAAGUUCAACAAAAUAAAUAGCACAUAUAGCAUUCAAUUGGUUUUAAAAAGUUUUUAAAACAAUAAAAAUAACAGAACAGAUCAUAAAUAAAUAAAUAAAUAACUAAAAAUUACCUAACGAAUGAAUAAAUAAAUAAGUGACAUCAUUUUGGGACUGAAAUGCCAAUUUUGCACACACAUGCGACAGCCCAUACGCAUAUAUACGCUCGGAGCUAACCAAACCAAAACCCAAUCAUUUCCACGAAAUGAUAUGAAAGCGCACGCAACAAUCCAUCACCCCGCGCCUUGAAAAAUUUGAAUCCAGAAACAGCGGCUAAGUGUCCUUAACCAUUCAAAACCCAAAAUCCUCUUCUUACCUUAUAUCUUCUCUGCCUCAACUCAACGACCUCUUAAUUCAAAAUCCAGUAAAUGGCUUCUCGCUACAACUCCUACGAUUCAAGAUCCUCAACUACUUCUCAUUUCUCAGACCCAUAUUCCUCCACCGAGUUUAUAUGCAAACCAUCAUCAAGAACUACCUCACGAGCACUUGUGAAAGCUACAUCAUCGGAUCUUUCUCAAACCAAGAUCAAAAGCAAGAGCAAUGAUCACAACUUAUCCGCAAUGGUCAAGAAAUUUAUGGAGAAGAAAUCUGCUGGAAAAGGUUCUACUAAUAAGGGAGUAGCAGCAGGGCUGGUGAUUCCAUCGGAUUUAAUAGUGGACGACUUGAAGAAGACUGCUAGGAAUGGGACCGGCUUUAUUGGGUUGCAGAAGAAAUUGUUCGGGAAGGUGAAAGACAAGGAGAAGAAGACUGUGAAGGCGUUGACAGAGGUGAAAGGUGCUGGUAAUAAUGGCAAUACAAGAACAUUGGCCAUGGUUUUGAGGAGUGAGAGAGAGGUUUUGGGUGCUAAUAAGGAGCAGGAGCUGGAGAUUGCUAAGCUCAAGUUGAUGCUUGAGGCCAAGAACACAGAAGUUGAGAAGUUGAAGGAUUUGUGCUUGAAGCAAAGGGAAGAGAUCAAGUCACUGAAAAGUGCAAUUCUUUUUCCUGAUGUAAUGAAUUCUCAGCUUCAAGAGCUUUUAGAGAAGCAGGGAUCAGAAUUGAAACAAGCAAAACAACUUAUCCCAACUCUCCAAAGGCAGGUCGGUUCUCUUACAGACCAGCUACAGUGCCUCGCCGAAGAUCUUGCUGAGGUAAAAGCUGACAAAUACACUAGGGGCUAUAUGCAACACCCUGGCAACUCACCAAGAACACCAAAUUAUGAUCAUGAAGAAGCAGCUAAUUCUUUAGAAUUCAGUUCUUGGGAUGCUGCAAGCCCAGGCAGUCCAGAUGACAUGUUUCUUAAGGAUGUGAAUCCGUGUUUAACACCCCAUUAUGCAAAGACAAAAUCUAAGGAAUAUGAGGCAAUCGACUAUGAUUCUCCACUUAAUGACAGCUUAUCUAAGAAAAAUAUGCAAAUGUAUGAAUAUGAUGAACAUGGUUUCAACUCAAGUCUCAGUAAGAUGUCUAAAAGUUCAGAUUGCUAUAAGAACAACAAUCACAGAGACAGCAUAAUGGCAAGAGCAGCUCGCAGAUCAGAUGAAAGUAAAUGCACAUAUGUGAAGCAAAUGCACCUAAGACCUUUCUGAUGCAUUUACUGGCUUUGGUGUAGCAUAACUCGUCUGCCACUGGCAUAUCGUUUUUUCGUUACCUUUUUGCCUGUUAUGGAUUACAGAUAUGUUAAAAAAAAUAGACGUCAAACUUAAGGUAGUAGCUCCUAGUUGUACAAGGUUUCAAGCACACAUAUUAUGCUAUUAGUAUGUUUCAAGCACUCGAAUAAGGGAUGAAAAAGCCACGUAAUAAGUCAGAAAAGUCGCUAUGCGCCCUAUAUCAUUGCUAUUAAUCAAAUGCUAUUUCGUAUGAGUUUGCCAAAACACCUCUUUCAUAGUUAUACAGUUUGAAGAGAUGUGUAAGCUUGUGGAGGUGUGAUAAUUGUUUUGCUUUCAUUUAGUUAGCUUUCAAAGUAUACAGCUUGUAGUAUUUUGCGAGAAAUGUAAAG